UACACNCCCGCCAACAUCACGAAAGUGGAUUGUACUAGAAGUCCUAAUCAAACAGGCCCAAGGUAUGAUUCAUGAUUGGGGUG
rnacentral:rRNA from 1 species